rnacentral:rRNA from 1 species
GAUGAACGCUGGCGGCGUGCUAAUACAUGCAAGUAGAACGCUGAAGCUUGGUGCUUGCACCGAGCGAUGAGUUGCGAACGGGUGAGUAACGCGUAGGUAACUGCCUCUUAGCGGGGGAUAACUAUUGGAACGAUAGCUAAUACCGCAUAAAAGUCGAUAUCGCAUGAUAUUGAUUUGAAAGGUGCAAAUGCAUCACUAAGAGAUGGACCUGCGUUGUAUUAGCUAGUUGGUGAGGUAACGGCUCACCAAGGCGACGAUACAUAGCGACCUGAGAGGGUGAUCGGCCACACUGGGACUGAGACACGGCCCAGAUCCUACGGGAGGCAGCAGUAGGGAAUCUUCGGCAAUGGGGGCACCCUGACCGAGCAACGCCGCGUGAGUGAAGAAGGUUUCCGGAUCGUAAAGCUCUGUUGUAAGAGAAGAACGAGUGUGAGAGUGGAAAGUUCACACUGUGACGGUAACUACCAGAAAGGACGGC